rnacentral:rRNA from 1 species
GUGUAAAGCCAGUAAUGGCAAAGCUGAGCAGUACUAAUUGCCCGAAACUUUUUAUCG